AUGGUGGAGGGUUGUCGGAGGUGUGUUCACGACGGUUUUGCAAGAUCCGUGAAUCAUGUGGUGGUUGCACCUUUGCGGGUGGACGAUGGUGCAUCAAGGUUACGAGCGGUACAAUUGGAGCAGCUGUGCGCGUGGGUGUUCAGCGGCGUUUUUCAGGGGAAGCAUUUGUUUUAUUUUUUGAAAAGGAAGAGAGAGAGAAGAAAAAGAGGGAGACGAGAAAAGAGAGGGAGAAAGUGA